GUAGCAGCGGGCGGCAGCCGCCGAGGCAGCAAUGUCAGGAGGGCACAGCUGGAGGAGGCGGCCGCCAAAGCCACUACCCCACCCCCAGGAAGAUUUGGAAAAGAGGCACUGGCUACUGGAGGAAGGGAGAAAUCACCGAGAGAGCGAAAGAUGUAACAGAAACAGGCUCUUGUUCUGUCACCCAUACUUGGAGUGCAGUGGUACAAUGAUAGCUCACUGCAGCCUCAAACUCCUGGUCUCAAGCAAUCCUCUCACCUCAGCCUCCCAGAUGCAGUGACUCAUGCCUAUAAUCCCAGUACUUUGGAAGGUCAAGGCACAAGGAUCCACUGAGGGCAGGAGUCCAAGACCAGCCUGCACAACGUAGCAAGACUCCUUCUCUACAAAAAAAUAAAAUAAAAAUUAGCCAGGCAUGGUGGUGCACUCCUGUAGUCCCAGCUACUCAAGAGGCUGAUGUAGAGGAUCGCAUUAUCCCAGAGGUCAAGGCUGCAGUGAGCCGUGAUCAUGCCUCUGCACUCCAGCCUGGACGAUAGAGCAAG
rnacentral:lncRNA from 1 species